rnacentral:rRNA from 1 species
GUAAACGGCGGCCGUAACUAUAACGGUCCUAAGGUAGCGAAAUUCCUUGUCGGGUAAGUUCCGACCUGCACGAAUGGCAUAACGAUGGCCACACUGUCUCCUCCCGAGACUCAGUGAAGUUGAAAUGUUUGUGAUGAUGCAAUCUACCCGCGGCUAGACGGAAAGACCCCAUGAACCUUUACUGCAGCUUUGCAUUGAACUGUGAACCGAUUUGUGUAGGAUAGGUGGGAGGCAGAGAAGAGGCCACGCCAGUGGUCUUGGAGCCGACCUUGAAAUACCACCCUGAUUUGUUUGCGGUUCUAACCACGGACAGUGAUCCUGUCUUGGGACCGUGCAUGGUAGGCAGUUUGACUGGGGCGGUCUCCUCCUAAAGGGUAACGGAGGAGUACGAAGGUACGCUAGGUACGGUCGGAAAUCGUGCUGAUAGUGCAAUGGCAAAAGCGUGCUUGACUGCGAGAGCAACAACUCGAGCAGAUGCGAAAGCAGGUCAUAGUGAUCCGGUGGCUCUGAAUGGAAGGGCCAUCGCUCAACGGAUAAAAGGUACUCUGGGGAUAACAGGCUGAUACCGCCCAAGAGUUCAUAUCGACGGCGGUGUUUGGCACCUCGAUGUCGGCUCAUCUCAUCCUGGGGCUGUAGUCGGUCCCAAGGGUAUGGCUGUUCGCCAUUUAAAGAGGUACGUGAGCUGGGUUUAAAACGUCGUGAGACAGUUUGGUCCCUAUCUGCCGUGGGCGUUGGAAGAUUGACGGGGGCUGCUCCUAGUACGAGAGGACCGGAGUGGACGCACCUCUGGUGUACCGGUUGUCACGCCAGUGGCAUUGCCGGGUAGCUAAGUGCGGAAGAGAUAACCGCUGAAAGCAUCUAAGCGGGAAACUUGCCUGAAGAUGAGUCUUCCCGGAGGUUGAACCUCCCUCAAGAGUCGUCCGAGACCAGGACGUCGAUAGGUCAGGUGUGUAAGCGCUGUAAGGCGUUGAGCUAACUGAUACUAAUUGCUCGUGAGGCUUGAUCCU